UAUGUGAUCGUCUCUCGCAUAUCAAUAAGCGGAGGAAAAGAAACUAACAAGGAUUCCCCUAGUAACGGCGAGUGAAGCGGGAAGAGCUCAAAUUUGAAAUCUUAAAGGGUUUCCCUUUACGAAUUGUAGUUUAAAGAAGUGUUUUCUGUUGAGGUUUUGGUAAAAGUUCUUUGGAAUAGGACAUCAUAGAGGGUGAGAAUCCCGUAUUUGACCUUUACUUUCAACUUUGUGAUACACUUUCAAAGAGUCGGAUUGUUUGGGAAUGCAGUCCAAAAUGGGUGGUAAAUUUCAUCUAAAGCUAAAUAUUGGCGAGAGACCGAUAGCGAACAAGUACCGUGAGGGAAAGAUGAAAAGAACUUUGAAAAGAGAGUUAAACAGUACGUGAAAUUGUCAAAAGGGAAGCGUUUGACACCAGUGUUGUUUUUCUGAAAAUCAAUUAAAGAACUGUUUAUGCUAAGUUGUUUAGACUUUAUCAGCUAACUGUUUAGUUUUGAGCUUUUCUUUAAUGCACUUUUCAGUUAACAAGUCAACAUCAAUUUCUUUUGCUGUAAAAAAGCUUGAGGAAGGUGGCUUGAGAUUCGUCUUAAGUGUUUAUAGCCUCUUGCCUAUGCAGUCGGAGAGAUUGAGGUACUGCAGCGUAGAUCCUUCGGGGCUAAAUGCAUUUGUGCUAAGUUAUAGCAUUUUAUAGACAACUUGUUGACUAUGAUUUGUCUUGUAGCUUACUCGCUUAUGUUAUUUUACCUACGCUUAGGAUGUUGAUCUACAGAGCGAGAGU
rnacentral:rRNA from 1 species